UGUUGAUGAUGACAAAUACAGGGUUGUUUCUCAAAACAUUUGCAGUGGCCGCCUAAGAGCUUUCACCUUCGCCGGGCUUGAGAGCUGGUGCUGCUUCAAUGCUUCCUUGGAUGUCUGAGACU